GUUCAUUUUACAACUUAUGUGGUAGUAAAUAUAUAAAAAGAAGAUGCGGCAUGAUUUCCAAUGAGACAACUCUCCACAAGAAAGGAAAUGACACAGAGAUUAACAGCUAUAUGUCACUAAUUUCAAGAAUUACGAAUGUUGACCUUAUGAGAUUUCGGUCAUCUUCUUACCAUGUUAGUAAUCUUUUCAUCUCUUUAUCCAUUUUUAGCCUGGGACAUGCAAUUCGUUCAUUUUUAUACGAAUGCAACAAGAUAGUAAACUGCUUUACAGUAUAUACAUUAUAUAGGCCUAAGUAUAUAUGGUUGUAAAGUUUUUAUUUUUUUUUUUUUUUGUAAUUUUCUAAUUUAGAUUAACUGAUGGAAAAAUAAAUUUGUCAUCCAAAGGUUCCACGGAAAGAACAUCCACA
rnacentral:lncRNA from 1 species